rfam:Nomascus leucogenys chromosome 22a, whole genome shotgun sequence.
AUCCUUUUGUAUUUCAUAAGCAUGAUGAUUGGGUGUUCACAUGCAUGUGUGAAUAUGCCACCCUCUGAACCUUGUUACAACGUCAACACAUUACCUGUCUGACC